rnacentral:rRNA from 12 species
CCUGGCUCAGAUUGAACGCUGGCGGCAUGGUUAAAGCAUGCAAGUCUGGGAGAACCUUCGGGGGAAACCGGCGAAAGGGCGAGUAAUGCGAUCGAACGUACCCCAAUGUGGGGGAUAGCGUCGGGAAACUGGCGGUAAUACCCCGUGUGCUCUACGGAGGAAGUUGGGAGCGGCGAUCGUCCUAUCAGGUUGUUGGCGGGGUAAAGGCCCACCAAGCCGAAGACGGGUAGCGGGUGUGAGAGCAUGGCCCGCCGCAU